UACGUAGGGCGCAAGCGUUAUCCGGAAUUAUUGGGCGUAAAGAGCCCGUAGGCGGUUUGUCGCGUCUGCCGUGAAAGUCCGGGGCUCAACUCCGGAUCUGCGGUGGGUACGGGCAGACUAGAGUGUGGUAGGGGAGACUGGAAUUCCUGGUGUAGCGGUGAAAUGCGCAGAUAUCAGGAGGAACACCGAUGGCGAAGGCAGGUCUCUGGGCCACUACUGACGCUGAGAAGCGAAAGCAUGGGGAGCGAACAGG
rnacentral:rRNA from 1 species